ACACUUACCGGACAGCGGAGAUACCGUCAUCACAAAAGUGGUUUUCCCAUGAGCGAGGCUCGACUAUUGCACUCGGGCCAUGCUGACCCCUGCGGUUUCCCCACGUGUGGGAAAUUUGAUUGUGGGAUUUCUCCUAGUGGGAGACUGCGUUCGCCUUCUCCCC